UACUAGAGUAGCACUCGCAUAUCAAUAAGCGGAGGAAAAGAAACUAACAAGGAUUCCCUUAGUAACGGCGAGUGAAGCGGGAAGGGCUCAAAUUUGAAAUCUUCAAGGUUCUACCUUGACGAAUUGUAGUUUAUAGAAGUGUUUUCUGUUAGUGGAGUGGCAAAAGUUCUUUGGAAUAGGACAUCAUAGAGGGUGAGAAUCCCGUAUUUGGUCAUUCCUCCUAGCGUUGUGAUACACUUUCAGCGAGUCGGAUUGUUUGGGAAUGCAGUCCAAAAUGGGUGGUAAAUUUCAUCUAAAGCUAAAUAUUGGCGAGAGACCGAUAGCGAACAAGUACCGUGAGGGAAAGAUGAAAAGAACUUUGAAAAGAGAGUUAAACAGUACGUGAAAUUGUCAAAAGGGAAGCGUUUGACACCAGUGUUGUUUUCUCGAAAAUCAAUUAUGAAUGGCUUGAUUUUAAGUUUCAUGACCUUAAAAGCUUGUUUCUUAUUUUUCAUGUCUUUCGUAAUGCACUUUUCGGUUAACAAGUCAACAUCAAUUUCUUUUGUUGUAAAAGGUUAAGAGGAAGGUGGCUUUACUUUCGGGUAAAGUGUUUAUAGCCUUUUAACUCUGCAAUCGGAGAGAUUGAGGUCUGCAGCGUAGAUCCUUCGGGGUUAGAUACGUUUGUGCUAAGUUAUAGCUUUUCAUAGACAACUUGUUGACUAUGUUAAGUCUUGUAAUUUACUCGCAGAUGCUAUUUUACCUACGCUUAGGAUGUUGAAGAUGUAGCACAUCAU
rnacentral:rRNA from 1 species